CACGUAGGGGGCAAGCGUUGUCCGGAUUUAUUGGGCGUAAAGAGCUCGUAGGCGGUUCGAUAAGUCGGGUGUGAAACCUCCAGGCUCAACCUGGAGACGCCACCCGAUACUGUCGUGACUAGAGUCCAGUAGGGGAGCGUGGAAUUCCUGGUGUAGCGGUGAAAUGCGCAGAUAUCAGGAGGAACACCGGUGGCGAAGGCGGGUCUCUGGGCCGAUACUGACGCUGAGGAGCGAAAGCGUGGGGAGCGAACAGG
rnacentral:rRNA from 1 species